AUGAUGCUAAAAUUCAGCUUUGAUCACAGAAAUAAAUUACAUUUUAAAGUAUAUUAAAAUAGAAAACAGUUAGUUUAAGCUGUACUAGCAUUUCACAGUAUAACUGUUGUUUACUGUAUUUUUUAUUUUAAUCAAAUAACUUGAUUUUUAUUUUAAUCAAAUAAAUGCAGGAUUGAUGAGCAUAAGAGACUUCUUUCAAAAACAUAAAAAAACAGUAAUUUGUCCAAAUUUUUGACAAGUCCUGUAUGUGUGUGUGUCCUUUUAUUUUUUUUCCAUAGGAGAGCUGCUUGGUGUUGACUACCUCCUGAGUCAGACCGGACAGCCCCUGGUGGUGGACCCCGACUCAGAAGAGACAGAGAACAUGCUGGAGGAUGUGGAUGAAGGCGAGGAUGAAGAAGAUUAGGGCUUCGGGGAAGACCAUGACAUUACUGUGUCAAGUCUUACCGAUGACCCAAGCUUCUCUGUCUCCUCCCAUUUUCUGCCCUCCUCUGAGUCUCUCUCCUCCGCCCAGCCUGCUGCCUCCUCCGCCCAGCCUGCUGCCUCCUCCACCCAGCCUGCUGCCUCCUCCACACCAGGUGCAUCAGCAUCUCCUGAUGAGUCUGUGGCUUUGGAUAGUGUUGGUGUGCCAGGCAUGGACAGAGUCGACAGCCUAGCAGAGUAUCUGGUGGAGCUUAGGAACCAGCCCUCUCUGGUCCUCACCAACCAGCAGGUGAGCAAUAUAGUUGCUCUUUGGCAGAACCUGCUUGAUUAUGAUAAGCAAAGGGUGGUGUUUGCUGCCAGACACCAGAGCAG